rnacentral:rRNA from 1 species
AUUGAACGCUGGCGGCAGGCCUAACACAUGCAAGUCGAGCGGAGCGGCGGACGGGUGAGUAAUGCCUAGGAAGCUGCCUGGUAGUGGGAGAUAACUUCCGGAAACGGGCGCUAAUACCGCAUACUAGCAGAUGAGCCUAGGUCGGCUUAGCUAGUUGGUGGGGUAAAGGCCUACCAAGGCGACGAUCCGUAGCUGGUCUGAGAGGAUGAUCAGUCACACUGGAACUGAGACACGGUCCAGACUCCUACGGGAGGCAGCAGUGGGGAAUAUUGGACAAUGGGCGAAAGCCUGAUCCAGCCAUGCCGCGUGUGUGAAGAAGGCCUUCGGGUUGUAAAGCACUUUAAGUUGGGAGGCGUUACCAACAGAAGAAGCACCGGCUAACUUCGUGCCAGCAGCCGCGGUAAUUC